rnacentral:rRNA from 1 species
GACGUAGGGGGCGAGCGUUGUCCGGAUUCAUUGGGCGUAAAGCGCGCGCAGGCGGCCCGGUAAGUCGGAUGUGAAAUCGUCACGGCUCAACCGUCGAAACUGCAAUUCGAUACUGUCGGGCUAGAGGCAGGUAGGGGAGAUCGGAAUUCCUGGUGUAGCGGUGAAAUGCGCAGAUAUCAGGAGGAACACCGGUGGCGAAGGCGGAUCUCUGGGCCUGUCCUGACGCUCAGGCGCGAAAGCUAGGGGAGCGAACAGG